rnacentral:lncRNA from 1 species
AAUCAGAGUCCACAUAUGUUCGGGGGAGGGACCCCAGAAGGCGGCUGACAGUAUUCCUUUAGCCAGAAAUCCCUUCAGGGAAGAGAAAGGUGCUCCCCUUUGCCUGCUUUUAUACUACAGACUGUUUCCAACUCCAGCUAGAAGUGACUAUUGCCGAUUAUGCUAAUCAGUGGCGACAAGCUCCCUUUGACUGCUCACUUCUCCAGUGAGGCUUCAAGCUUCUAGGCAUCAAGAUUAGUAAGGCUGUCUUCUGGGUGGGCCAGUUUGUUUCUCAGUGACACGAAAACAUUGCCUGGGGUGUGCACUGGUUUUGAAAACAACUAGAUUGCCCAUCUCCAUUUCUCUCUAUCAUCUACUGUAUUAUUCUAUGGACAACUGCCACCCUAAUAAGGUCAAGAAGGGAAGCCAGAAGUCAAGGCCACAGAAGACACAGGAAACAUCAUUUCCAAAGUGGGAGACAAAGCUGUUAACAGGAAAUUAUUUGUAAAGUCAAGAGCCAAGCAAAACAGAAAAAGGACAAGAAAUCUAUCACCUGUGGGUAUGAAUGGUUCUAGGGAAGUCUGUUGACAAUUGGAGGGUCUCAAAGGCGCUUUAUGGUACUUAUUUUAUGACCCUGAGUCUGGAGUCUGAUGAAUUAAAGAGGAAAUUCUGCUCUGGGCAACAUUUAAGAGAUAGUAUCUCCAGGCAGUAACUUUCGUAUUAACUCUCAUAAGAUUGAUGCCAUUCUGUCAUCUAAAGUGUGGACAAAAGUAGCAUUAAAGCAAAAUGAAAGGAUAUACUAA